AUAAAUUACCCUGCGGAGUUGUCAGCUGUGCUUGGAGGCAAAGGGGCUGGGCUUUUUGUCCUCCCACACUAGCCACUCACCUCUACCAAGCUUCAGAAUUCUGAAGAGGCUGCUCCAGUGCAUACCAAUUGCAUAAUAAAGAGAGGGCAAUCCUCUGAGUGUCCCAAACACAAGCUGGUAUCAAAGCAUGCAGAAGAUUGGGGGAUGAGCAUACAGAGCUGAUAAAAAGAAUCCAAGGAGAUCUGGGCAGAAGCUUUCACUAUGUCCUUUUAAAAAGAUACCUUUUAAAGAAGAGGACAUGCUGCCACCUAUUGAAACAACGCAAAUACAUACAGACACCCAGUUCUAAGAACAUCAGGACCUUGUCACCCCGUACCCGGCGAAAAGCAAACAAUGUAAAUUCUAAAAAAAAUUCUCAACUUUUUCUAUCCUGGACUUUACAAAGAUUUCCGCUACCUAAAUCAGUUCUAAAAGGAGCCUCAGGGCCAGGAAAAUCAUUUCUUCUUGGACCCACAGAACUUAAGUGUGAAGAACAGGACUGUUUGAAACAUGCUGUGACAUACCUUUCGGGAUGGACCUGCUCACACAGAAACAGCAGAGAAGGGAGCUCGCAGGAUCCUGAAACUGGCAGAAUGCCUGGUCACUGGCUCUUGGCUUACAGUCUAAAGGAGCUUGCCUGGAGUCUUAGAUGACAAUGUGUCUGUGUUGGGAGGUGGGGCCUAAUGGGAGGCGUUUGGGUCACGGAGGUAAAUCUCUCAUGAAAGGCUUGGUGCUGUUCUCAUGGUAGUGAGUUCUCACUCUGGCAAGACUGAACUAAUUCCCAUAAUAGUGGUUUGUUAUAAAGCCAACGAUUCCCCUUGGGUUUUGUGUCUUUUGCACAUGUCUAUUUCUCCAUUGACCUUCUCCACCAUGUUAUGUCCCAGCAUGAAAGACCUCACCAGAAGCCAGGGCCACGCCCUCGAACUUUCCAGUCUGUAUAAUC
rnacentral:lncRNA from 1 species